GAUGAACGCUGGCGGCGUGCUUAACACAUGCAAGUCGAACGGAAAGACCCUGCUUUUGUGGGGUGCUCGAGUGGCGAACGCGUGAGUAACACGUGAGUAACCUGCCCUUGACUUUCGGAUAACUUCAGGAAACUGGGGCUAAUACCGGAUAGGAGCUCCUGCUCCAUGGUGGUGGUUGGUGAGAUUCGGCGGUGCGGGCUGGACUCGCGGCUUAUCCGCUUGUUGGGGGGGUAGUGGCUUACCAAGGCUUUGAAGGGUAGCCGGCCUGGGAGGGGGACCAGGCACCAUGGGACUGAGAUACGGCCCAGUCUGCUACGGGAGGCAGCAGGGGGGAAUAUUGCACAAUGGGCGGAAGAGUGUUGUAGAGACGUCCCGUGCGGGAUGACGGCUUUUGGGGUGUGAACAGCUUUCGCAGGUGACAAAGCGUGAGUGACGGUACUGGGUAAAGAAGCACCGGCUAACUACGUG
rnacentral:rRNA from 1 species